UGAGAUGUUGUGAUGUGGGUUUUCAGGUU
rnacentral:piRNA from 1 species